UCCCACAUCCCAAAGUACCACAGGCUUGUAUGUUAAUUGUAAGUUGUCCCUAGUGUGUGUAGGAUAGUGCUAGUGUGAUGGCUGGUCGGUGUGGACUCACUCGGGCCAGGGUACGCCCAAAGUAAACUUGGAUUCCAAACAUUUGAUAAGAUUUGAAGGGAGUGAAGCUCGUGCAGUAAUCAGUCUCCGCUUAUCCAUUGCACCAGCUGUCCCCAAUGAUCUAACAGCAAAUAUCAUUCAGAUUGUCGAACAGGACCUGACUCAUAAUGUGGCUGCUUCCCUGACUGUGUGUAGCAAGUUCUCAAUCUUAUCCACGUGAGUAUUUACUGUGGCCACGAGUCACUGGGCUCGAUCGAAGCUCAGUCUGAAAACACUCACUUUUUUUAGUUGGACAAAAAUGCUGGAGAAACUCAGCGGGUGAGGCAGCAUCUGUGGAGUGAAGGAACAGGUGACGUCUCGAUCCAUAGAUGCUGCCUCACCCAGCUGAGUUUCUCCAGCAUUUUUGUCGGCCUUCGAUUUUUCCAGCAUCAGCAGUUCUUUUUUUUAACUUUUUUUUGUUCCAUCUAUUGAAAUCUUAGCGUUACUGAGCUUCAGCUCUGAACAUAGCCGAACGUGUUCAGUCCUGUCCAAAUCCAGGUAUGCAGGUAUGAUAAACCUUGUCAGACUCUGCUGUUUGCAUCUGGCCUGCACAAGCCGUAGAAUUAAACAGCUGCCACACUUGUGGAACAUUGUGCAAUGGUAAACAGGCCUGUGCCAGGAGCUCCUGGUAUAAGACGUUGGGAGUUAACUGUGGAAAUGUAACUAACACAGUCUUGCGCUGAUAAAACAUAGAAACUAGGAAUGGCAGAUGCAGGUUUACACCAAAGCACAGAAUGCUGGAGUAACUCAGCGGGUCAGGCAGCAUCUGUGGAGAACAUGGAUAGGUGACGUUUCAGUUGCUGACCCGCUGAGUUACACCGGCACUGUCCUUUUAUUGCUGAUAUACAUGUCUGUUGCAUAGAAGAUUGUUAUGGGUGCAGAGUGGAUCCAUUCGCUCCUUGACCUAACCUCCUGGGCAAGGCCUUCAGUUUAUACUCUCUGUAAACCAGAGGCUCUCUGGGUUUGACUGAGGAACCUGUGACCACUGGCCUUGCCUUUGUAGAAUAUCACAGCCCCCAAGGUAGGAAUCGGCAAAGGGUGCAGCGGGUAGAACCACUGCCUCACAGCGCUAGAGACCCGGUUCGAUCCUGGCCUUGUGUCUGUGUGUGUGGAGUUUGCACGUUCUCCCCGUGACCACGUGCAGUUUCCACCCACAUUCCCAAAAGUGGGUUAACAUAGAAUGGGGUGGUCUCGGUGGGCCGAAGGGCCUGUUUCUCCCAACUAAAUGUACUGCUUCCCCAGAGCUGGCUCAGCCCAUUUAUACCCGAUCACCCAUCUUCAAGUGAGAACGGCCUGUGUUCAGUUUGGAAGCACUGUUGAUGGUGGCAGUUCCAUGUGUGGAGGAGGCCAGGUGGAUCCACCGAGGCCGACAGCUAAUGUCCCUGGAACCUCCUGUCGACGUCUCUCAUUACAUCCACCUGAGAAUAAUGUGCUGAAUAGCUCUGGACUCUGCCUAACAAUCUCUGCAAGAUCAUUUUAUGUAAAUUUAGAUGUAUGCAAUAAAAUAGUUUGAUAAUUUCCAUUUUCUAUCAUGUAAUUUUUAAGAAAUCUUUUAACUUCAAAUAUGAUUUCAAUAAAAGAAAGGGUCAUUUAA